rnacentral:rRNA from 1 species
GACGAACGCUGGAGGCGUGCUUAACACAUGCAAGUCGAACGAUGAAAUGGAGCUUGCUCCAUGGAUUAGUGGCGAACGGGUGAGUAACACGUGAAUAACCUGCCCUUAAUUUUGGAAUAACCCAGGGAAACCUGGGCUAAUACCGGAUAAGUAAACCUGUGGCAUCACAUGGUUUUGGAAAGUUUUUCGAUUGAGGAUGGAUUCGCGGCCUAUCAGCUUGUUGGUGAGGUAAUGGCUCACCAAGGCGACGACGGGUAGCCGGCCUGAGAGGGUGAACGGCCACACUGGGACUGGGACACGGCCCAGACUCCUACGGGAGGCAGCAGUGGGGAAUAUUGCGCAAUGGACGAAAGUUUGACGCAGCGACGCCUCGUGAGGGACGAAGGUCUUCGGAUUGUAAACCUCUUUCAGCAGGGACGAAGCGAAAGUGACGGUACCUGCAGAAGAAGCACCGGCUAACUAUGUGCCAGCCGCCGCCGUAA